AACACUGCAAAGCCUUUACUGAGGCAAUUUACAGUAUUUUUUUUUACACCAGCAGGGGGUGACAAACCUCAACAAAUGAAAGGAAGAUAUCAAACCACACUUCCAUUGACUCCUAGAAGCAAGAUAACACUAUUCCCUCCCUGCUGAUGAAGUUAAAGCUGUGAUGUAGACACUGCUCUGACACCUCCCCUCUUCAUUAAACUGUAACAGACUCUCGUCCACAGGUGCUGAGCUGAAACGACUGGAUAGAAAAGCUGAUAGAGUGUCAAAUCUUCACUUCUUCAACAUGAUAUUUAUGGUCUUUGUAUUUUGUUUUCUUCAUCUGCUGAGAAAUACUGCUGCCUCUCUCAGUGGAAGUGUCCUCCAAACACCUCCUUUCAUCAUUAAGAGAACUAAUGAAUCUGUUGCCAGUGAGAUCAACUGUUCACACAACAUAACAAAUUAUGAUCUUAUUCUGUGGUACAAACAAGAUGAACGCAAAGCUCUGAAGCUUCUGGGAUAUCUGAAUGUGAACUACCCGUACCCCGAGGACGACGUGAAAGGAAAAAUCAGCUUCGACGGAAAUGGCCGUGAACAUUCAAGCCUCAAUAUUUCUGAUCUUUCAUUAAGUGACAGCGGUGUGUAUUUCUGUGCUGCCAGUCAGCACAGUGCUGCAGAUUCCCCUCACGUCAAUACAAAAACUCUGCUUUAUCUGUCUGCGGAGAGACAACGUGUUGAGACUCCUGAACACCUGCAGACAGCCUCCAUCUACACUGAGCCUUUCAAGAUUUUAUCAACUGUUUUGACACAUGUUGACCUCAUCUGACACUACAGUGACUUUGUAUGAAAAUAAAUUAAAUAAAGAUUGUUUUAGCAAUUACUCUAAUAUGGUUGUGAACUUUUCUCAUUAGCUACAGGAAAUUAAUUUGAAGGGAUAGUUCUGGUGUUUUGAAGUGGGGUUGUACGAGGUACUACCAUAGUCAGAUACAGUAGA